rnacentral:ncRNA from 2 species
GGAAGCCGGUGGAAAUCCGGCACGGUCGCGCCACUGUGAACGAGACGAGCCGCCCCGAUGGGCGAAGCGCCUCGCAAGUCAGAC